AAACAUAUCAAUCCCCAUUACUUCGAAGAAAAGAAAUAAUAAUAUGGAAGUUAAAAUGCUCAUAAUGUCUGAGUAAAAUUGAAGCAGUGCUGUAAAACUGAUUAAUUAACAAUACUGAAAAACAAAGACCAUUUUCCUCUAUGAAGGUAAUUUUGUUAUUCAUAACAAUUAGAGCAUACACAACCUGUAAAGCAGAAGUUCCUUCUGUGUUCAAGAGUGGUUUUACAUGACUAACUUCAACAUAUUUUUUUGUUUUUCUGCUACUAAGUCUAUGAGCUCACUGCCACGCAGCAAACGUAUUUAUUAUACUGUCCAAAGGUUGUAGCCAACAGAGAUAUGUUAUGAGCAAAGUUCAGAUAUCUGGGAUCCUAGUUAUAAAAGCUUGGUAUUUUUUGUUGCUUCUUUAUAAUCCGAAUGGGUUCAGAUAAAACAGCUUCUUUAUAACUUCUCUGAUAAGGACUGGGAUAAACAAGAGGUACAGGCAGACACUGGUUUCAGGCUUGAGUUCAUUCACUUACUGACACCAGUUUUAACCUACAUGCAUAAUACUGAUAAACAGUGGUAGAGUCAGCACUGUUGAUAAGACUACUGCUCCCUGUACAAACACUGCACAGGUUUUGCAGUUGGUAAAAUUCAUAAGAGUGCUUGUCAAAAGUUGUUUUUGGCUAAGAACCAACUACAGUACUUGCAUCUACGGAGUCCAUCCUAUUUGAGCUCCUUGAGUCCAUAAAGUAGACAGGAAAUACAAGGAGAUAGUUUUGCAGUCUCUUCAAUGGAAAUGAAUCUGAAGCAUCUCAUCAUUUUUGUACAAUUAACUAGAGAUCAUAAAUAAAUACUUCUCUCACUUUAUUCACCACUGGUUGAUUAGACUAAGAAGAGAAAAACAAACAAACAAACAGGCAGAGAAGGAACAAUAAAUUUAGUUAAGAGAGUGAGACAGCACGUAAGCAAGUAUACACUCAUAGGCAGGUCUUCUAAUAUACACACUCCUGACUAAGACCGUAAAGAAAACAACUGACUUAUGUUUCACUCCCAGAUAAUGGUCUCAGAGUUACCAGCUAACAGUAAAACUGUAUACAUAUCUCAUGAUUAUUAUGUCUAUUUUCCUGUUUUCAGAGUUGUCACUGUGUUACCAACGAAUUAACCCCAGCACCAUAACAUACUAUAGGUAAUUGGUAAUGAAAUCCUUCUGCUUUUAAAGAACAGGUUCUCUUUCAUGGCUCACAGAAUCACUGAAUCACAGAAUUGUAGGGGCUGGAACGGACCUCUAGAGAUCAUCUAGUCUACUCCCCCCUUCCAAAGCAAAUAUGGGCUGCUGUAUAAAGACUACAAUAUGGCCUAACUUAACUUCAGUUAUGCAUCUGCCCCACUACCAGUACUCUGUCAUUAUGCACAGACAGCUUCAGUGCAUGGUUCAUUUCUUUUAUCCCCAGAUGGGAAGGAAAUACAUAAAUAUGAGUAACAGAACCUUGGUUCCACACCACCAAAGGAUCUCUGGAGUAUUCUUGUCCUUGGAGGUAUUCAAGAGAUGUUUAGAUGUCAUAUUUCGGG
rnacentral:lncRNA from 1 species